CCCUCGUUCUCUCUCAAAUAAAUAAAUAGAAUCUUAAAAAAAAAAAAAAGAAAAGAAAGAAAGUAUGGAUUUUAGAGUCGAUGCCUGGCUUCAAAUUCCAGAUCAGUAACCUCAGCCAAUUUAUUUAAGCAAUCUCUCAGUACCUUGGUUUCUUCAUUUAUAAAGUGAGGAUGACCUGACAGCACUGUUGUGAGUAAAUGGGUUAAUACAGUUAAUUCUCUUAGAAUGGUGUCUGUUUCAUAGUAAACACUGUAUGCGCUAUUACCUCAUUUUGGCUAUGCAGUAGUCCCAUCUUCUGUGCGGUUUCACUUUCAGGGUUUCAAUUACCAGUGCCAAAGACAGUCACGAAAGCAAAUAAUUCUCUCAUCUACGGUCCAGAAGGUCAACAGUAGCCUAAGGCUACUUCACCAUGCCUCUGUCAUUCGGCUCUCAUCAUCUCAUCAUGUCGGCAAUUUAUCAUCAUCCCAUGUCAUCCCAAGAAGGCUGCGUAACAAUGGACAAGAAGAGAGAGAGGAGCAACAGAAGGAACUAUGAAACUUAGAAGAUUCUAGAGGACAUCUGGAAACCCAAGGAUUUGCUGGUUUGGAAAAUAUAACUCUUGCCCCAGUUCUCCCAUCUGGGUGUACAUCUUUCCCAGAAGGAAAAACUGGAACGUCUCAUUGAUCCCUUUCUGACUGUUAAGGAAGCUCAGGGAAUCGCUCAAGUACCCUGGCAGCAGUUACAAAGGUAUUUACAAGCAACUGCUCUCCUGCCUCAAUUACCAAGUCUUCUAAGUAGAGAAACACCCUUUUUGUCCUAGCUCUGAUUUGAAAAAAGUUUGUUUAGGCCCGGCCUCAAAUCAGUGUAGGGUUGUUCACAUUCCUGAGGAAAGGUCUGCCACCUGGUGGUAAGAAGUGAAAUGCCACUUGCUCGACUCCGAGCUCCCUCCCUUCCUCCUUCCUCCCUCUUUCCUUCUCCCCUUUCCUCUCCUUCACUCCCUUCUUCCCUCUCUGCUUCCCUCCCUACUCCCACUCUGUCCAUCCUUCCCUCCCUCCCUCUGUCAAUUCAAUUUUUGCAAAUCCAUGCUCAGUUUCUGGCUUAAAUCUUGCUUGCUUGCCACGUGCCAAAGGCUUCUAAUGGAUGAUAAAGAUACUGACACCUCAGAGAGAAUUUUUUGGGCAAAUAUCUGGAAUUUGAACACCUUAAAUCAACUUUAAAUUGUUUCAGAACAGCUGGGGGAGGGGAGUGAAGAGGAGGGGACUUAUAAGUGUUAAGUUUCUCCUAAAGAGAGAAAAAAAAGCAUAAUUGAUUUAUUCAUACACAUUCAUUGAUUCACUACUGAGUACCAAAAACCUGUGCUAAUUAGUUUGCAAAUAGAAACAUAUAUGACAGCACCCCUGCUCCUCUAAUGACAAAGAGAUGAACAGAUGACCAAACUAGGUUGGGAAUAUAAAUUAGGGUCAUUCUUGCUUCCAUUUUUAAGGUGGAAGAAAGCGCAGAAUUGUUACAGUCCAUUAGGGGGAGUGCUAAGUCCCCAGGAAAGUCACAGGCACUGCGCUAAUUCCAAACCAUGCCCACAAUUCCUUGGGGACUUAGCCCAUCUCUCCCUUACAGAGAAAGGAGACCCCAGUAUGCUUGGGAGCUUGAACUGCCAGUAACCAUUUCCAGUACCACAAGUACAAUACUUCAGUGUUCAGCCCCUACUUUUGCUUCCCAUCUUCUCGUCUCAAAGUAUGGUCCCAGGCAUCAGCAUUGUCAUCACCUGGGAAACUUCUAGAAAUGCAGAUUCUCAUACCCUACCACAGACCCACUGAAUCAGAAGCUGGGAGUGUUUUAAUGAGCGCUCUGGGCAUUCUGAUGCAAGUUAAAGUCUGAGAACCAUUGGUCUAGUAAACCAUCUGGGCAUGGACCGGGGAGACCAGUGAGAGUGGAAGGGUGGGAAAGAGCAAUGGAUCCUACAAGCCACUCAGAGUGAGCCCCACAGGGUUAGAGAAGGCAGAGGGGCAGCCACAAGGAGGGACCACAGAGUCAUUGUAGAGGUUUCUGCCAACUGAGGUUGGAGUCUGUGUUGUGGACACUAGCCCCCAAAUUUACUCUAUGUCAGAUUGGUUAUGGUACCAUGACCUUCAUGCUGGAAACUUCACGGACUCCUCCUUCAAUUCGUGCUGCUUUAGAGAGGGAGCCCAGACAGUGUCGGGCCAGGCAGGCUGACCCAAGGCUGUGCCCACCCCUACCCAGGCUCAGCUCCAAGUCUCUUCACUCUCACAGGUCCAUGGAAGGCCCAUUGGGUAGCUCCGUGGCAGUGUGGUAUAGUGGUAAGCCCUCUCCCGCAACUCCUGCCGCCCCAACACACAGACACAUUAGUGUGGGGUUGCCUGCAUUGAAUGCUAACUCCACCACACUCCUGGGGACACACUGCAGGCUGCUCCCUAUGUUGAAUGGAGAGAAUACUACCUACUAAAGGAAGUGCUAUUUAAAGGCACAGUAUUGCUGUAUAUAUAGUACUCAGGGCAGGCUUUGGUCCCUAACUCUGUGUGUGUGUUGCUAUCUUUUCCCAGUCUCCACUGCCCCCCCCCCGCCCUCCCCCACCAUCCUGUCUGCCUGUGCCUCCUGACCUGGCAUUUCCUGCACAAAAUAAGCACCUGAUUAAAAAGAGUAGAAAGAACAACUGAAGCCUGCUUCUGCUAUUUUUCCUCAUUUUCCUGGAGCUGCUGGCAGAAAAGUGGCAGCUCAGAGCCAGGGGUGCAGGCUUUGCUUGUCUCUUCUGAAAAAACAAAACGAAACGAAACAAAACAAAACAAAAACACUUUUUCUUUUAAAGGGGGAAAAGGAAUAAGCUGAUUGGGGCAUCUCCCUGACCUCCAUUCCUCCCCCACACGUGGGCACACAAAGAGCCCAAGUGCCGGUGUGAGUCGGGGGACAAGCUCCGUAUGUCCGCAGUCCCGGGUCACCUCGGGCCAGGUGCUGGUAACUCAGCUGCACACUGGAAGAUGGGGCCUGGGAGGGGCACGGAGCCCCCCACACCCCGCCCCGCCCACCUCCCCAGGCUGGGUGACUGUCAGGCCACAUCUGCUCCAAAUUUAUAGCUGCUCCUCCGGCCGCCGCCGUCCUCUCCACGGCCUCUUUACCAAGCGCAGCCCCAGCUGAGACCCCUCCCGCGGGGAGCGAGAGGACACACCCGCGCCGGCCCCGGGCUGGGGGCGGGGAGCAGGUGUGAAGCGGAGGUCGCAGCCGCGCGCGCGGUCACCCUCCACCGCACCGCGGAGACCCGACCUCACAAUAACGUGGACACAAUGGCGCGGGGGCCAGGAGCUCAUUACCGGGACCGGCCGGGGAGCGGCUGAUGAAAGAGGUGGGAGCAGGGGAGGACGGCUGCCCGACCACUGCGCGCAGACCCCUGCGCGCUCGCGAGGGCGGAGGGGCGAGGUCUGCACCGAGGACGCUGGUCUAGCGGCGGCCUGGAGCGACCCUCGCCAAAAGCCUACAGAGGGCGCCGAGCUGGGCCCCCAGGGCCGGGCGGGAGGAGGAGCCAAGGGACAAAAAGAUGCCUGCGGGCUGGGGAGGGCCGGGACUCUUCAGGGAGCACCUCCCUGUAGGCGUCUCCCCCCUCCCCCACCCCCAACCCGCCGCGCACGGGUCCGCUGAUUGCCUAUUGUGCGUCGCCCCUCCACCCCCGCCCGGCGCCCAGCGUCCCGGCCCCGCAGCCUCCACUUGCUCCGGGCUCGCGUAAUUCAUUCUCGCAGCCGGCCCCUUCGGCUCUAAAUGAGCAGUUAGCGCCGCACACACGUGCGGGGGGAAGGGUCGUCCACUGCGGAGGGAAAAGUGGGGGUGGAGGCAGGAGGGAAUGCAGCCAGAAGAGACUGCA